UGGGGAAUAUUGGACAAUGGGCGAAAGCCUGAUCCAGCAAUGCCGCGUGUGUGAAGAAGGCCUGCGGGUUGUAAAGCACUUUCAGCAGGGAAGAAACGCCGGGGACUAAUACUCCCGCGGUACUGACGUUACCUGCACAAGAAGCACCGGCUAACUCCGUGCCAGCAGCCGCGGUAAUACGGAGGGUGCGAGCGUUAAUCGGAAUUACUGGGCGUAAAGCGCGCGCAGGCGGUUCGGUAAGUCAGAUGUGAAAUCCCCGGGCUUAACCUGGGAAUUGCAUUUGAUACUGCCGAACUAGAGUAUGGGAGAGGGAAGUGGAAUCUCCGGUGUAGCGGUGAAAUGCGUAGAGAUCGGAGGGAACACCAGUGGCGAAGGCGGCUUCCUGGCCCAAUACUGACGCUCAGGCGCGAAAGCGUGGGGAGCAAACAGGAUUAGAUACCCCCGUAGUCC
rnacentral:rRNA from 1 species